rnacentral:lncRNA from 13 species
AUGUGUCUGACUCAGUCUAAACCUCCACUGUGUCUGACUCAGUUUAAACCUCCACUGUGUCUGACUCAGUCUCAACCUCCACUGUGUCUGGCUCAGUCUAAACCUCCAAUGUGUCUGACUCAUUCUAAACCUCCAAUGUGUCUGACUCAUUCUAAACCUCCACUGUGUCUGACUCAUUCUAAACCUCCACUGUGUCUGACUCAGUCUAAACNUCCACUGUGUCUGACUCAGUCUAAAUCUUCACUGUGUCUGACUCAGUCUAAACCCUCACUGCGUCUGGCUCAGUCUAAACCUCCACUGUGUCUGACUCAGUCUAAACCUCCACUGUGUCUGACUCAGUCUCAACCUCCACUGUCUGACUCAGUCUAAACCUCCACUGUGUCUGACUGUACUAUGAGCUAUGGAUCUCAAUGGAGUUGUCAUUUAGACAUUAUUCUCAUAGGUUUAUGAUGUUGCUCUUCUCUUCUGACUGUGAGAAGCCACAGUGACAGUAGGAGGCCUUCCCAGACCCAACUAAAGAAAUAUUGCAUUAAAAUGGCAGCUUGUUAACUGCUGCUGUGUCACAGCCACGGGAGGUGCUGAAGCACCCACUGAAAAAUCACAAUUAAAAAAUAAAUACAAAUGUUAAGAACUAGGUGCUGUACUAGCAGACCAAUAUCUCUGUCUGUAGAGUGGGCAAAUUCAUUCAUGUUUAUAUCAACUGCUGCUUGCUAACCCACAGUCAAAGGAUUGUACAAAACACUCCACACAACUCUCUGCUCUGCCGCCGCAAUUCAUUCAUUUCAUUCAUUCAUUUUGAAAAAAUUGCUUUUGAAAUACGUUUUCUGUUUGGGAGCGAGAGGAGGAAAGGAGCUGGGACGUUUAAUCACAACACGGAAAUAAUUGAUAAAGCACCCAAAUGUUUAAUUUAGGGAUGUGAGACACUUACUCCAUACUUAUACAGACUGCCACAGGCAAUGUAGAGAGCGAGAGACAGAAUGCAGAGAGGAUAAAGCUCUUUGAAAUGUGGAAAAGCAUAUUAUAUGCUGCAGCUGUAGUGUAACGUUAGGAGCCGUGCAGAUGGAGCACAGUGUUAAGACUCAGAUUGAUUGUGGUAUUAGUUUGUCUGAUUCAGCUGUAGUGUAAUGUUAGGAGCCGUGCAGAUGGAGCAGAGUGUUAAGACUCAGAUUGAUUGUGGUAUUAGUUUGUCUGAUUCAGCUGUAGUGUAACGUUAGGAGCCGUGCAGAUGGAGCAGAGUGUUAAGACUCAGAUUGAUUGUGGUAUUAGUUUGUCUGAUUCAGCUGUAGUGUAACGUUAGGAGCCGUGCAGAUGGAG